rnacentral:rRNA from 1 species
UAUAUUAAAGUUGUUGCAGUUAAAAAGCUCGUAGUUGGAUUUGUGGUGUACUUCGGCGGCCCGUCACUAUGUGAUGGAGCUUGCUGAAGUCGCCAUCCUUGGGUGGAUCCUGUGUGGCAUUAAGUUGUCGUGCAGGGGAUGCCCAUCGUUUACUGUGAAAAAAUUAGAGUGUUCAAAGCAGGCUUAUGCCGUUGAAUAUAUUAGCAUGGAAUAAUAAGAUAGGACCUUGGUACUAUUUUGUUGGUUUGCGCACCAAGGUAAUGAUUAAUAGGGACAGUUGGGGGUAUUCGUAUUUCAUUGUCAGAGGUGAAAUUCUUGGAUUUUUGAAAGACGAACUACUGCGAAAGCAUUUACCAAGGAUGUUUUCAUUAAUCAAGAACGAAAGUUAGGGGAUCGAAGAU